rnacentral:pre_miRNA from 1 species
CUGAAGUCAAAGUGGGAAAAUCGGUCUAAUCUUUUGUUCUUCAAUUUGAUUUUAUUUUGCUUAAUUAAAGAACAAAAGAAUAGACCGAAUUUCCCACUUUGACUUCAGCUA